rnacentral:sRNA from 1 species
GACCUUGUGGAGGCGUGGCCAAGAGGGU